rnacentral:rRNA from 1 species
AGUGAAUAGAUACCCUGGUAGUCCACGCUGUAAACGAUGAUCACUCGUUGUUGGCGAUAUACUGUCAGCGACUGAGCGAAAGCAUUAAGUGAUCCACCUGGGGAGUACGGCGGCAACGUUGAAACUCAAAGGAAUUGACGGGGGCCCGCACAAGCGGAGGAGCAUGUGGUUUAAUUCGAUGAUACGCGAGGAACCUUACCUGGGCUUAAAUGUAGGACGACGUUUCGUGAAAGCGGAAUUUCCUUCGGGACGUCUUACAAGGUGCUGCAUGGUUGUCGUCAGCUCGUGCCGUGAGGUGUCGGGUUAAGUCCCAUAACGAGCGCAACCCUUAUCAUUAGUUGCCAUCAGGUCAAGCUGGGAACUCUAAUGAAACUGCCUACGCAAGUAGUGAGGAAGGUGGGGGAUGACGUCAAAUCAGCACGGCCCUUAUGUCCAGGGCGACACACGUGCUACAAUGGCCAGUACAGAGGGUUGCUACCUGGUGACAGGAUGCUAAUCUCGAAAGCUGGUCUCAGUUCGGAUU